rnacentral:rRNA from 1 species
UACGUAGGGUCCAAGCGUUGUCCGGAUUUAUUGGGCGUAAAGAGCUCGUAGGCGGUUCCGUAAGUCGGAUGUGAAAACUCGGGGCUCAACCCCGAGACGCCAUCCGAUACUGCGGUGACUUGAGUCUGGUAGGGGAACACGGAAUUCCUGGUGUAGCGGUGAAAUGCGCAGAUAUCAGGAGGAACACCGAUGGCGAAGGCAGGUCUCUGGGCCGAUACUGACGCUGAGGAGCGAAAGCGUGGGGAGCGAACAGG